rnacentral:rRNA from 1 species
AGCGGAGGAAAAGAAACCAACAGGGAUUGCCCCAGUAACGGCGAGUGAAGCGGCACAGCUCAAAUUGAAAUCUGGCUCUCAGGGCCCGAGUUGUAAUUUGUAGAGGAUGCUUUUGGCGAGGUGCCUUCCGAGUUCCCUGGAACGGGACGCCACAGAGGGUGAGAGCCCCGUAUGGUCGGACACCGAGCCUCUGUAAAGCUCCUUCGACGAGUCGAGUAGUUUGGGAAUGCUGCUCAAAAUGGGAGGUAUAUGUCUUCUAAAGCUAAAUAUUGGCCAGAGACCGAUAGCGCACAAGUAGAGUGAUCGAAAGAUGAAAAGCACUUUGAAAAGAGGGUUAAAAAGUACGUGAAAUUGUUGAAAGGGAAGCGCUUAUGACCAGACUUGCGCCCGGUGAAUCACCCAGCGUUCUCGCUGGUGCACUUUGCCGGGCACAGGCCAGCAUCAGUUCAGCGCGGGGGAGAAAGGCUUCGGGAAUGUGGCUCCCUCGGGAGUGUUAUAGCCCGCUGCGUAAUGCCCUGCGCCGGACUGAGGUACGCGCAUUGCAAGGAUGCUGGCGUAAUGGUCAUCAGCGACCCGUCUUGAAACACGGACCAAGGAGUCGUCUUCGUAUGCGAGUGUUCGGGUGUCAAACCCCUACGCGUAAUGAAAGUGAACGUAGGUGAGAGCUUCGGCGCAUCACCGACCGAUCCUGAUGUUCUCGGAUGGAUUUGAGUAAGAGCAUACGGGGCCGGACCCGAAAGAAGGUGAACUAUGCCUGUAUAGGGUGAAGCCAGAGGAAACUCUGGUGGAGGCUCGCAGCGGUUCUGACGUGCGAAUCGAUCGUCAAAUAUGGGCAUGGGGGCGAAAGACUAAUCGAACCUCUAGUAGCUGGUUUC